UACGUAGGGUCCGAGCGUUGUCCGGAAUUACUGGGCGUAAAGAGCUCGUAGGUGGUUUGUCGCGUUGUUCGUGAAAACUCACAGCUUAACUGUGGGCGUGCGGGCGAUACGGGCAGACUAGAGUACUGCAGGGGAGACUGGAAUUCCUAGUGUAGCGGUGGAAUGCGCAGAUAUCAGGAGGAACACCGGUGGCGAAGGCGGGUCUCUGGGCAGUAACUGACGCUGAGGAGCGAAAGCGUGGGGAGCGAACAGG
rnacentral:rRNA from 1 species